UUCUUUAGAAUUUAGAAAAUUAAAUUAAACUACAACUUUUGAACAGUCAUUUCAUUGUUUGUGAAGCCAGCAUGAAAUAAUGUCAUUGAACAACACCAUUAAAUAUUGCUUCAUCAAAACAGCAACUGCAGUUUGCCAAAAACAGACACCAUGUGACGUAUUUAUGCGAUACAGGAGAACACAAAUAAUAAUUAUGUUUUGUUAUUAAAUAAUAAAGUUUUGUUAAAAAAAAUAUUAUUAAAUAAAUUUGUGAUUUUGUAAUAAACGGAAGGGUCGGAUUUUAGAAGCAUGAAAUAUUUGAAAAUUUCUGUUUAAAAUGCAUUUUUCAUCUAUGAUGGAGAGACCUUUAUGUAAUUAACUAAAAUUUAAUUAUGCGCACAUUAAACGCUUUUAAGUUAAAUAGAAUUCCUUAAUAAAGGAGAGGGGGUUACCAAAAAAAUUAAUAAGUGUCCCGUUAGACAUUAGAAGUUAACAU
rnacentral:lncRNA from 1 species